rnacentral:rRNA from 1 species
AAGCUCGUAGUUGAAUUUCGGGGUUCUACCGUUGGUCGGGCUUUGUCUGUACUGGCGUGUAGAAUUUCUACCUUCUGGGGAACCAUUAUGUUAUUAAUUUAGCGUGGUGGGAAACCAGGACCUUUACCUUGAAAAAAUUAGAGUGUUCAAAGCAGGCUUAUGUCUGAAUACAUUAGCAUGGAGUAAUAGAAUAGGACGGUGGUCCUGUUUUGUUGGUUUCUGAAUCACCGUAAUGAUUAAUAGGGAUAGAGG